CCUGUACUUAGAGGCAUCACAGGUGUGGCUUUUGUGUCACAUCCAAGUCAGUAAGUGGAAGAAAGGAGAGAGGCUAAGUCUACACCCAAUUUCUAACCUGUGAACAUCUGAAUGAUUAGUAGCCAACAUU